rnacentral:rRNA from 1 species
CAGGUGCUUUGCUGGAACGUGAGGGGGCUUAACAACCCCGCGAAGAAAAAGGCCAUGAAGGGUUUAGUGGCCUCGGUCAGAGUUAACCUAGUAUGUCUACAGGAGACUAAAAUGGAUGUAAUGGAUACCCUUAUGGUAAUGAAAUGUCUAGGUCCAUCGUUUGACGGCUUUGUGUACUUACCGGCUGUUGAGACGUGA